rnacentral:misc_RNA from 1 species
GAUGAAGAACGUAGCGAAAUGCGAUACUUGGUGUGAAUUGCAGAAUCCCGUGAACCAUCGAGUCUUUGAACGCAAGUUGCGCCCGAAGCCAUUAGGCCGAGGGCACGCCUGCCUGGGCGUCACACGUCGUUGCCCCCCCAUCUACUCCUUCGGGAUUGCGGGGGGCGGAUGAUGGCCUCCCGUGCGCCUCGUCGCGCGGUUGGCAUAAAUACCAAGUCCUCGGCGACGCACGCCACGACAAUCGGUGGUUGCGAAACCUCGGUUGCCCGUCGUGUGCGGUCGUCGCGCAUCGAGGGCUCGAAAAAAUUGCCGGGCUCCGGCUCGGCUUUCAACGCGACCCCAGGUCAGGCGGGGUUACCCGCUGAAUUUAAGCAUAUCAAAAGCGGAGGA